GCUUGGAUAAGGUGCCUAAAUAUUCGCUUAUGAGAUUCUGUUUUAAUAUAAAAAAGGUGUUGGUUCAUGAUAACAGUUGGACGAUAUUCAUGGAAGUUGAAAUUCGCUAAGGAGUGUGUAAUAACUCACCUUCCGAGUGAACUUGCCCUUAUAAUGGAUGGCGCUAAAGUGAAUUACCGAAACCAAGC
rfam:Plasmodium falciparum Vietnam Oak-Knoll (FVO) unplaced genomic scaffold supercont1.66, whole genome shotgun sequence.